UCCCUUCUCUAUUCUCCUCUUUCAACAUGUACUACUAUAUGAUUUGCACGACUCCAUUCGAUGUGCGCGCACUCGCUGUGGUUGAUGCGGCGCCUUGCACUGGCGCGUGGAUGUGUUGGGUGGGAGAUCUGAUCGACGUAGCGUAUAUGCGUUUGCUGGUCCGAGUGGAUCGCGGCGGGAUUGGUUUGCGGGGUGCUCAAGAUGCAGUAGAUCUUGCACUCCUUUUCUCCACUCCUUGUGGAUUCUGGUUCCAUACAUUCUUGUCUUGCCAGCGCUGUCAACCCGUCACCGUCCAGUGUUCUGGUAUUGCUGCGCCUUAUGCUCGUCCGUUCCGGCUGAUCGCUGAGCUGUCUGUCAUAGCGAAGGCUUCAGCCGGCUGCUUGGUCGUUCCUUCAGAUCUCUUUCAGUGGAGCAACUGAUGACCUUGCAAAGUUCCAAAAAAAAAAGGUUCUACUAGGAAGAGAUUGAAUUAUGAGAGAAGGUGGCAUCAUGGGGUUGCUGCGGUUAGCAUGGGUCUACCGCUCACACAUCUAGUGGUGUCUGCAGCUUAAGAAAACCGAGGGUGCAGCAUGGGUGAUCACACAGCAUGGCCGGUGGCACUGUUGCUGCUGAGUAGGUUGCUAGAGCAUGGUGGGUCACUAGUCAUCAGUCUCUACUCUAGAUUUAGCUGGAACAGCAGUGACGAGGUGCGCUGCGAAGUGGUGUUACCGUGUUAGGGUUAUAGGAUCAUGUAAUACCCCAUAAUUCUGUACUUGUAUGUUAGUAAUGGGGAACUACUACUGACUUGGAAUUUAUCUAGGCUUUUGGGUCUUUUUCUAUGGAUGACAUGGGCAUAGAAGUGGGAUAGCAUGAUUAAAUUUUGCGUUGCUCAAACUGCACAUUUUCUUCUCAGUGAAUGCAACAUCGGAGUUUCUCUGGUUUUGCCUAUCAUGCUAUGGUGGUGCUAGUGUGAGACUGAUAACAUGGAGAAUGCAUGUGAUGGCUUGAAAAGUUAUUGGUAUUGAUGUUUACUGAUUGUAUGAAACAUUAGUUGAAGUUUACAUGUUACCAGCUUACUGAUUGACAGAAAAUAUAUCUGUAAGUUGCAUGUCUUACUCUUCUAUUUAUUUGGGCUUUGGUACUGAUCAAGUCGAUGGAAUGUUUACCCAAAUACUUUUCUGGAUAGUUGUGUUCCAGAUAGUCAAGCCUUGAAUGUUCUUAUGAAAUUUCAUCAUUGUCCACUUAAACUGUAUUUGUGUUUAUUUGCUACCCUUGAAUGAUUUCAUGCACCCAAAAUUCCAGAUGAAGAAAGGGACUGUAAGAUUUGUUCUGAUGGACCCAAUCAUUGGUCCAUAUUGUCUUUUGCAUUAGCAUAGCUGAAAUGAUCUCUGAUGGUUAAAUAAAUGUAAAUAAUAUUUGAGUCCAACUGUCCAUUGAAAACCCCCAAGUUCGUUAUGUUCUUGUACUGCACAUCCAUGUGCAAAUGUGGCUUAUAAAUUUCUACAAGAUCAUUUUGAAGAUUCGCCCAUUA